rnacentral:rRNA from 1 species
AGAGUUUGAUCAUGGCUCAGAUUGAACGCUGGCGGCAGGCCUAACACAUGCAAGUCGAACGGUAACAGGAAGCAGCUUGCUGCUUCGCUGACGAGUGGCGGACGGGUGAGUAAUGUCUGGGAAACUGCCUGAUGGAGGGGGAUAACUACUGGAAACGGUAGCUAAUACCGCAUAAUGUCGCAAGACCAAAGAGGGGGACCUUCGGGCCUCUUGCCAUUGGAUGUGCCCAGGUGGGAUUAGCUUGUUGGUGGGGUAACGGCUCACCAAGGCGACGAUCCCUAGCUGGUCUGAGAGGAUGACCAGCCACACUGGAACUGAGACACGGUCCAGACUCCUACGGGAGGCAGCAGUGGGGAAUAUUGCACAAUGGGCGCAAGCCUGAUGCAGCCAUGCCGCGUGUAUGAAGAAGGCCUUCGGGUUGUAAAGUACUUUCAGCGGGGAGGAAGGGAGUAAAGUUAAUACCUUUGCUCAUUGACGUUACCCGCAGAAGAAGCACCGGCUAACUCCGUGCCAGCAGCCGCGGUAAUACGGAGGGUGCAAGCGUUAAUCGGAAUUACUGGGCGUAAAGCGCACGCAGGCGGUUUGUUAAGUCAGAUGUGAAAUCCCCGGGCUCAACCUGGGAACUGCAUCUGAUACUGGCAAGCUUGAGUCUCGUAGAGGGGGGUGGAAUUCCAGGUGUAGCGGUGAAAUGCGUAGAGAUCUGGAGGAAUACCGGUGGCGAAGGCGGCCCCCUGGACGAAGACUGACGCUCAGGUGCGAAAGCGUGGGGAGCAAACAGGAUUAGAUACCCUGGUAGUCCACGCCGUAAACGAUGUCGACUUGGAGGUUGUGCCCUUGAGGCGUGGCUUCCGGAGCUAACGCGUUAAGUCGACCGCCUGGGGAGUACGGCCGCAAGGUUAAAACUCAAAUGAAUUGACGGGGGCCCGCACAAGCGGUGGAGCAUGUGGUUUAAUUCGAUGCAACGCGAAGAACCUUACCUGGUCUUGACAUCCACAGAACUUUCCAGAGAUGGAUUGGUGCCUUCGGGAACUGUGAGACAGGUGCUGCAUGGCUGUCGUCAGCUCGUGUUGUGAAAUGUUGGGUUAAGUCCCGCAACGAGCGCAACCCUUAUCCUUUGUUGCCAGCGGUCCGGCCG